UACGUAGGUGGCAAGCGUUGUCCGGAAUUAUUGGGCGUAAAGCGCGCGCAGGCGGUCCUUUAAGUCUGAUGUGAAAGCCCACGGCUCAACCGUGGAGGGUCAUUGGAAACUGGGGGACUUGAGUACAGAAGAGAAGAGUGGAAUUCCACGUGUAGCGGUGAAAUGCGUAGAGAUGUGGAGGAACACCAGUGGCGAAGGCGACUACCUGGCCUGUUCUUGACGCUGAGGCGCGAAAGCUAGGGGAGCAAACGGG
rnacentral:rRNA from 1 species